CAAAAACAUUUCUUUUAGAGUAAUUUUUAAAAGUAUAUUCUGCUCAAUGAUUUAUUUUAAAUAGCUGCAGUAUAUUGACUGUACAAAGGUAGCAUAAUAAUUAGUUCAUUAAUUGUGAACUGGAAUGAAUGAAUUUAUGAAAUACUUAUUUUAUUUAUUUUAUUAUUAAAAUUUUAUUGUUAGGUUAAAAAGCUUAAUUAAUUUUUAGGGACGAUAAGACCCUAUAGAGGUUUAAUUUUAAUUUUUAUUAUAAUAUUUUAUUGUUUUAUUAAUUAUUUAAUAAGUUUAUUAUUUUUUCUGGGGCGGAAGAUAAAUUUUAACUUUAUUUUUUUUAUUCAUUUAUUUUUGAUUAAAUUGAUCCAAAAUUUUUUUGAUUAUAAGAGUAAGCUACCUUAGGGAUAACAGCGUAAUUUCAAUGGGGAGUUCUUAUUUAUAUUGAAGUUUGCGACCUCGAUGUUGAAUUAAGAUUAGAUUUUGGGGUAGUUUUUAAUUUUCUAAGUCUGUUCGACUUUUAAAUUCUUACAUGAUCUGAUU
rnacentral:rRNA from 1 species